GGACGGGGCCCGCACAAGCGGUGGAGUAUGUGGUUUAAUUCGAAGCAACGCGAAGAACCUUACCAGGGCUUGACAUCCCCUGACCGCGUAUGAAAGUACGUUUUCACCCUCGGGUGACAGGGAGACAGGUGGUGCAUGGUUGUCGUCAGCUCGUGUCGUGAGAUGUUGGGUUAAGUCCCGCAACGAGCGCAACCCCUACGUUUAGUUGCUAACGCGUGAAGGCGAGCACUCUAGACGAACUGCCGUUGACAAAACGGAGGAAGUGGGAUGACGUCAAAUCAUCAUGCCCCUUAUGUUCUGGGCUACACACGUGCUACAAUGGCCGGUACAGACGGACGCAAAGCCGCGAGGUGGAGCAAAUCCUAAAAAGCCGGUCUCAGUUCGGAUUGCAGGCUGCAAUUCGCCUGCAUGAAGUCGGAAUCGCUAGUAAUCGCAGGUCAGCAUACUGCGGUGAAUACGUUCCCGGGCCUU
rnacentral:rRNA from 1 species